GUGCCAGCAGCCGCGGUAAUACGAAGGGGGCUAGCGUUGUUCGGAAUCACUGGGCGUAAAGGGCGCGUAGGCGGCCGUUCAAGUCGGGGGUGAAAGCCUGUGGCUCAACCACAGAAUUGCCUUCGAUACUGUACGGCUCGAGACCGGAAGAGGUAAGUGGAACUGCGAGUGUAGAGGUGAAAUUCGUAGAUAUUCGCAAGAACACCAGUGGCGAAGGCGGCUUACUGGUCCGGUUCUGACGCUGAGGCGCGAAAGCGUGGGGAGCAAACAGGAUUAGAAACCCUCGUAGUCC
rnacentral:rRNA from 1 species